AUUUAAGACAGAUGUUUUACACGAACCGUUUGAGUGUGGCAAAAGCGCCAGUUUCUCAAAUUUGUCACAAACGAAUUUCUGCAAGACAAACGACUUGAAAUGCCUGUGAGCAGAGCUCAGCCGAUGGACACUGCCCAUCAUCACCCAGUUUCCAAUAUACCAGUACCUGCAAGAACUCAGGCUCGUUUGGCUGGGACUGCAAGCUCUCAAGCAGGGAGGACCAAAGUCACAACACAUGAACUAGAGGUCCCACAGACAGAGUUGGAGAAACUGGACUCCUUACGUUCUAAACUGGAACAGUCAGUGGAUGCAUUUAUCAAAGCCAGGAAAGAGCUGGAGGAAACAUUCGGAUUUUGUGGUUUUCCUUUUAUUUCCUUGAGUCUUGUAUUUUAAUUAGUCAGCAGAGGGCAGCAGUGAACAAGGACAUUUCCUCACUGGUUCUUCUGCUGACCUGAAGACUGAGCUAAAGAGGCUCAGGGAGCUGACAUCCAGAUUAAAGUAAACUUUGAGG